GCCAUAUCGAUAUCUGCUGGUUAAGAAGACAAGCUGCUUUUCUGCUGGAUGGUGAAGUAAGUGAAUUUUUUAAAUCUUAGUAUUAAUUUCCAGAAUAUUCGCCUCUGUUUUGAUCUUAGUCAUUUUGCCACGUUUUUUAAUAUUACAGAGAUAACUUUCUCACGUGAGAACUAAAUUAGUCCAUUAUUUACAGGUUAUAUAAGUUAAUUACAGGCAUAAAAGUUAUCUGGAAAGCACAUAACUAACAUACUGAUUACGAAUGUUAACUGACACGGGUGAGACUUGCUUACUGCCUAUGAAAUGUUUGUAACUUAACAUUUUGGCGGGCGUUUUGAGUUUUACCUCAUGUAUUUGACUCGGUAAAGAGUUAAGUUCGCGUUAGUCAGUUUGGUUUGCAUUAUCCCUUUCGGACGAUAACGUGAGCUGUUUCUCUUGAAACUUAAAGUAUGAUGUUUAACUUUGUGUUUCUGGUUGCUUCAGGAUGCAAACCAACAGCGUUGUCAAAGUAAAGUGAAGUUUAAUUGACAAGCGUCUGGAGUUGUGCACCACAUGUACGUGACUCGGAUUCAAACCAACAACGUUGUCAGAGUAAAGUUCAAAGACAGCAAGAAAUAUAUUUUCUCUUCACAGCCAUUUACAUUUCACACAUUUUUGGAAUGUGUUGCCAAGAAGUUUAAUCUUCCUACAAUGAAUGUCUUUGAUGACAUAAAGACAGAGGUUGAUGAGGAAUAAUAUCUGCUGACACGACCAGACUUUGGUGUCCUAGAAAUCUUCAUCCCAGAAAGCACAACAAGCCUUGAUGGGCACGUCAGACUCUGAUGGGACCGCAGUGUUGAUUAGAAAUCCUCCUGAAAAAAAUCUAGCCAAGAAACGUCAUCUAGUCCAGAUCGAAAAUAUCCUAAACAGCAUCCCUGGAGGCGAUAAGGUCAUAAAGGAAUACGCUCGCACAAAGUCUUUCAGAUGGCCAAAGACGUGACAUGGUGAAAAUCUUGGUAGCACAUUUAACAAAGGAACAUGGAACAAGCCCUUACCGAAGUUUGAAGGAAGAAUAUGCAAAGGGUAUUGUCUCCAUAUUCCCAUGCUUUGCUGACCCCAGGAGCAAGCUUGGUUAUGAGCAUUAUUACAAUGCAGAAGAUGGAAGUGGAUAUUUGGCGUGGAGAAUUAAAACUCAAGCAUCAGAGGGACGGAUAAAAUGCCCACGGCAACCACAAACAGGUCCAUGACUUGCAGAUUGAUCAAGAUUCUAUUUGGUGAGGCGACCACUGCAAAGUUGUUGGAGAAGUGGUUUACCAACAUAAAACCAAAGGUUAUUGCACAGACCCGUGGCCUCAAACAGACUUGUAAGGUCCAAGACCUCAUCCAAAAUGCUGAAGUUGAAGAUGGUAACUAUUGUGCUAUACAUACAUGUGCUAUACAAGUUAUGAAUUCAUGAAGAAUGGCUUAGAACCAUAGUUUCAAUUGUAUUAUUUAUUGUAUUAUAUUUACAACAUAUAAUCCAUGCUUUUGUUAUUUAGAGUCCCAAAUGAAAACUAUUUUAAACUGUAAAUCUACAACUCGCAUACUAGGCCCUUGUGAAAACCCAUCUGAAAGCGCUCUAUUUUUACACACUAAUUUUGUACUUUAUAUACAAAAAAUUCUUCUUUUGUACUUCUUGAGAUAAUCUUAAGAACAUCUAAGUAUACUUGUCUGUACUAUUUUGAGACACCAUGAAUAUGAACUGAAAUAUGCUUAAAAUAUAUAAAAAAAAUGUAUUUAGGUACCGCUUGUAGUAAACUUAAACCCAUCUUUCAUACAAACAAGUGGUAAAUAAAUAAAUUUUUUAAAUAUAUUUUAAGCACAUUUUAGUUUAUAUUCAUGGCGUCUCAAUAUAGCACAAUAAUUUUUAAAUUUAUUAAGUACAAAAUUAAUGUGCAAAAAGAGAGCAGUACAUUAUUGAAGUGUACUUCUUUUUCAGAAGAAAUGUGGCUCCCCUUGUGAUGUAAGAAGGGGAUCUUACUAUAAUUAUACUGCCUCUUAAUCUGCACUAUUCAACCACUGCCAUUUAGUGCAGCUCAUUUGCAUUUAAAAGGAUACACCCAAAAUCAACACAUAUUUGCUCACACCUACAAAGUGUCAAUUUUAACAUGUUAUAAUAAAUUGUCUAAAUGGUAUUUUGAGCUAAAACUUCACAUACAUAC